ACAACAAGGAUCAUAAGAGUGAUGGCCGACAAAAAUUAAUGAAGAGUGUCCAUGGAAAGCUACUGUUAAUCUUCUACUACCCUUCCUCGAAUUUUCACCUACAAGCAUAGAAAGCUUUAAUGCGAUUCCAUUCAUCAGCUUUUCGAUAAGAUUUUUAGAUUUUAACAAUCAUUAAAGAUUUAGGUGAUGACGACGACCUUCUAGCCAUUGAGGAGUUCCUUUGCUUGGAUCGAAGCGAGGUUCAAAACCUUGGUGGCAGUGAAGGUAUUACAGGAGGAAGUGAAGGCAAGGAAGUCGAGGGAGAAGAUGAGUAGGAAGACGAUGGUGGCCCACUGUUAGGUAGCAUGCCAGUCCUUGGUGGUGGAGAGAACGGAAGUGGUGCAACGGCGGUGGUGGACGAGGGAGUUCACAACGUAGGGUAGGAGCUGCAGCGACGAAAGGACGAAAUUGUCCAAUUUGUAGGGGUAAGCCGGUAAGAUAUAGCAUGCACCUGUUUUGGGUAAUUUUGUAACAUCAGAACUAUGGGCCAUGAUGUGUUCUUCUUCCUUCUCUAUUAAAUUGGAAGGGGCGGCCUUUGAAUAUUUUCGACCAUCUCGGGGUCUUCGACAAGGAUGUCUGUUGAUAUCCUUUCUUUUUUUUUUGGCUAUGGAGUUAACUUUUUCGCCUAUUGUCUGUUUACAGAGAGCUUAAUCUUUUUCAUGAUGUAAAA